rnacentral:lncRNA from 1 species
CAGGAAGAGUGAUGUGUAUUUUGGUGCUUACCAUUGCAUGGUCUUGUCUCCAAAGCUUGUUCUGGACAAAGAUGUUGAUUCUCUAAAUCCUGAAUGAUUACUGCCCGAGAUCGGACUUGUAUGCCUCCGAAGCCAAGAUCCUCACCAUUAACACAGAAUUCCUCAUCUACUAUUUUGCCUACAUCUUCAAUGGAUCCAUCAAAAACUACACAGGAAAUAUUUCGCACUCGUGUGCCCUCUCC